GAUGAACGCUAGCGGCAGGCCUAAUACAUGCAAGUCGAACGGUGUAGCAAUACACAGUGGCGCACGGGUGCGUAACACGUAUGCAACCUACCUUACAUUGGGGGAUAGCCUUUCGAAAGGGAGAUUAAUACCGCAUAAGACAGUAACUAGGCAUCUAGUAGCUGUUAAAGAUUUAUCGAUGUAAGCUGGGCAUGCGUCCAAUUAGUUAGUUGGCGAGGUAAUGGCUCACCAAGGCGAUGAUUGGUAGGGGAACUGAGAGGUCAAUCCCCCACACUGGCACUGAGAUACGGGCCAGACUCCUACGGGAGGCAGCAGUAGGGAAUAUUGGGCAAUGGGCGCAAGUCUGACCCAGCCAUGCCGCGUGCAGGAAGAAGGCGUUAUGCGUUGUAAACUGCUUUUAUACAGGAAGAAACGACCCUUGCGAGGGGCAUUGACGGUACUGUAUGAAUAAGCACCGGCUAACUCCGUGCCAGCCGCCGCGGUAAUAC
rnacentral:rRNA from 1 species